rnacentral:lncRNA from 1 species
CCCAAACCCUAGUGUUAAGUUGGGCAUUCUACUAAUUCUACUCCUGUACCUCUGUACCCAAAACAAAUUCCAUUAAUGUACCCUAGCGACCUAGUUCUCAAAAAAAACACUGGCUUAGGUCCAACAUCUUGUUAUUGCCAUUAAAAUAUGGCACCGUCUUGGCCGUUCAGGAGGGUCCAGUGAGUGCAUAGCCAACCCAAUAAUAACAAAAUUUUCAGGCCAAUUAAACAGCCGAGGACCCAAAAUUAUUUUGAACAAUACGGUCGCAACCUGGAGAUACCAACGGCUAUCCCGGCUG